CCCAAACCCGGGGCAAUCGAGAAACUUAGGGACUGCGUUGCUUUGUGAAAUAAACCUGCGGUGAAGAGCCGGUCGGUGGAACCGUGGAGGAGACCAGAUGCAGGCAGGUGAACCAGAAAGCAUGUCUGCUGCCCAGUAGUCUCGAAGGUUUUUCCUUGGAAGGAUAACAGCAGCCAUUCAAAACCGAUCCUAACAGUCAUACCACAUUGGACUUUUAGGGGCACUCUGAACCUAAGGAUGCCUGCUUGUUUCGUUUACUUUGAUGUGUUAUGAAUACUCAAUAACACUAGCUUGUCACAUGAAACUUUAACAAUAUUUGUCUUUUAGAAUUAUUCACCAGAA